GGCCCUAGGCUGGGGGAAUAGGGCUCAUUUCAGAGAAGAAAAGACGGAGGGGGAUUGAAUAGCAGCCUCCAACUACCUGAAGGGGGUUCCCAGGAGGAUGGAACGCUAGCUGAGGCUGAAGUUGGUUCCUUCUUCCCGGUCUCUUUUUUCAAAGAGGAUCUAGACCCAAUACACAGGCUCUAUAUAUGUGGGCAAGGCGUAAUUUGAACAUACCUUCAAAGUAGAGUAGGCCAUAACAAGAAGAAGAAAUACCGGAUGGAAGAGGGAAAAGAAAAAGUGUGGAAAAAUGAGAAGAAAAUAUGGAAGAAAAGACAACUCAGGGAAUGACAGAGAAGAGCACUCCUCAGUAAAAGAGAGAAUAUCUACAAUCCAAUACCUUUGAAAGAGAGGAAAAGGUGAACAGAGAUCACUGAGUGGGUUUAACAGAAGGAUGAGAGUGGAUCUGGUAGAUUUUAAUAAGUAAUAAGAUUUAUACUUCAGAAAAAGAAAGAAAUGCAUACCAAUAACUGUGUGAAAUAACUAGAUUAAUAUUGCCAGAGUGACUUUAACCCUUGUAAUUUGCUGACUUUGGAAUGCUUCUUAAUGUUACAGUGGCAUUGGAUUUUCACACUUAAAUUCCUUAAGGGGGAAAGAUAAUAAAAUCUUGCAAAGUU